rnacentral:lncRNA from 1 species
GUGGUGUCAAGGUCUGAUAUCGAUUGCCAAGAAUAUUCCUAAGUUUACCAAAUUGUCUGAAAAAUGAGUUUAAGAGUGAAAAGUAUUAACUAAAUGUUUAUACAUCUUGAAAAAUCCCCAAAAAAAUCAAAUUACUAAAAAAAAUGACAUUUUCACUGAUGGGUGCAAUUUGGGUACUCCUCGUGUUAGAUUUAUAGGUCAUUUGACAGUCACUUU